rnacentral:rRNA from 1 species
AUUGAACGCUGGCGGCAUGCCUAACACAUGCAAGUCGAACGGAGGUAGGGGCAACUCUACUUCAGUGGCGGACGGGUGAGGAAUGCGUCGGAAUCUACCCUAUGGUGGGGGAUAACACAGGGAAACUUGUGCUAAUACCGCAUAAUGUCGAGAGACCAAAGCAGGGGACCGCAAGGCCUUGCGCGAUAGGAUGAGCCGACGCCCGAUUAGCUAGUUGGUGGGGUAACGGCCUACCAAGGCGAUGAUCAGUAGCCGGUCUGAGAGGAUGAACGGCCACAUUGGGACUGAGACACGGCCCAAACUCCUACGGGAGGCAGCAGUGGGGAAUAUUCCGCAAUGGACGAAAGUCUGACGGAGCAACGCCGCGUGAGUGAUGAAGGUUUUCGGACUGUAAAGCUCUGUUGUUUAGGACGAAAGUGCCUGUUGCGAACAGUUACAGGUAUUGACGGUACUGAACGAGGAAGCCACGGCUAACUACGUGCCAGCAGCCG